CCCCUGAAUGGGUGGUAAUGCAUCCAGCCCUUCGGGGCAGGGGAGACAGGUGGUGCAUGGUUGUCGUCAGCUCGUGUCGUGAGAUGUUGGGUUAAGUCCCGCAACGAGCGCAACCCCUAUCCUUAGUAGCCAGCGAGCAAGACGGGCACUCUAGGGAGACUGCCGGGGAUAACCCGGAGGAAGGUGGGGAUGACGUCAAAUCAUCAUGCCCCUUAUGGCCUGGGCUACACACGUGCUACAAUGGCGUAAACAAAGGGAAGCGAAGGCGUGAGCGUAAGCAAAACCCAAAAAUAACGUCCCAGUUCGGAUUGUAGUCUGCAACCCGACUACAUGAAGCUGGAAUCGCUAGUAAUCGCGGAUCAGAAUGCCGCGGUGAAUACGUUCCCGGGUCUUGUACACACCGCCCGUCACACCAUGGGAGUCGGAAAUGCCCGAAGUCGGUGACCCAACCUGAAAGGGAGGGAGCCGCCGAAGGCAGGUCUGGUGACUGGGGUGAAGUCGUAACAAGGUAGCCGUAUCGGAAGGU
rnacentral:rRNA from 1 species